CUUAUUCUCUCAUGAUAUAUUUGUCUAUAAAGCAUUGUCUCUUUCACUGUAUCACAUAUUUGUUUGAUUGUCAAUCAUAACUCAGUUUAUUAUUCAUCUAUUCAUUAUGAAUCAUGUCAUUCAAUAACUACUAUAAAUUAUUUAGCAAACACAGCUAAACAAAUUGAAUACAUAGUUAUACAUAUAGCACCGUAUGUAUUGUAACUCCAUAUACCGGUACUUCGGUACCAAGACGGUACUAAAAAGAAAAAAAAGUUGACGGUACCAGAUUUUCAUAAGUACCGAUAUUACCGGGUCAACCCGGUACUGACGCGCUGCCUGACAGGUAGUCAGUCGGGAACAUUUCAUGUGUGCACCGUACAACAAGAAGACAUUGGAGCCAAAGCAGCAGCAGCUCCGCCGGUCGCCAUGGCUGCGUCCGAAACCGCAUACUUACCUACUAUAUAGUAUGUGAAAUACAUGUAUUUCUCUCGGACGCUCGUUUUCCGCUUUUGGUGUAAAAGCCACACCCCUAAAAUUUAUGUGCGGAUAGAUUAAACGUGCUUUCAGGAAGAGCGGCUGCUUAACCGCAGUAUUCAUUCGAGCAGUUCAAGCAGGACACUGAGGAUUCUUUGAAAGAGCAAACAAAGCACUAUGGAAGCUCUGAGGAAUUGCAGCAGGACUGAAGACUACUCAUCCAUCAACUAGUCUUUAAACAUUCUAUUAUUACUGUCUAUCUUUUAGACUUUAUUUUUACUUUAAAAAAAAAAAAAAAAUUCAGUUGCAGUUUGACCUUUUAGAAGUCCUGGGUCAUGUUUAGUAAUUUACAUAAAAGCCAAUGCCUAAUACACUAGUACAUGAAGUGAUAUCCUGUUAAUAUAAAAUAUUUGCAUAAAGGGAAAUUUCUCAUUAUGAGAUUAUUCUAAAAUCAUAUAUAAAAAUAUUAAGUAAGACUAUGUUAUUAAUUUCAAGCUUAAAAUUGGUUUGUUCUACUGGCAGAUAAUUUUGCUUCUUUCUAGAAUUAAAUGCUUCAAAUAAACAACAUUAUCUGUAUGAAUUUCAGCACAUAAAAAUCCAUGAGAAAUCAGCAUGCUAUGGUUUCACCUGACCAGGCUUUCCAGUAGCUUGCUAUACAGAAGCUUUUGCUGGAAACUCUAAUGUUGCUGUGUGGCUAUUGUGGUUAACAUAAUCAUGAUUGUAAUAUAUGUGAAAGGUUCUGCUGAGACAGUUUUUUUCCCCCUGUAAACAGGGUAUUUCUGGUCUGGAAAAACAUGUACUAUGCCAAGAUUGACACCAAUAGGCAGCUCAAAAUAUGGUAGGGAAAGUGUCUUUUAAAGUAGCCUUUUCAUGCUUAUUUUAUAGGGUCUGAUAGUAAUUUAUAAAUAUGUACAAUAUUUCUCUGUUGGUUCCUUUUUUGUUUUUUGUUUGUUUGUUUUGAGCAAUAUUUGUGUUAAUCUGUAUUGUUGUAUUAACCGCUGACUAUUUCAUAACAACUAUUUUAUAACAACAUUCUGAUGUUAUAAAUUUAGUAUAAACACUUCUACUCCUGUCUAGAUACAAUAUAGGUAAAUAUAUAUAGAUUGAGCUGAACAUUUAUUUGCUCAUUAUCAGUACUGAAUACAGAAAGAAGUUCUGUGAUCCUCAGGCAGGGGUUGAGUUAAUAUAUACUUGUCUCAAAUGUCAUGAACUAUUUUGACAGAUUCUCGUUUGCAUCACUGGCUCAUGUAUGAGUAGCCCAACUCUAGUAUCACACAUUACUACUGAAGGCUCAUAGAGUUAAAGAGAUACUAGGAUGCAGUGAUUCCUGAGAUGGACUCCAACCUAGAUAUCAUUGAUUUGUCUUGCACACAAAUUUCUUUGUUUUACACUGAAUAAAAUGCUGUCAGUAAUUUGGGGUUGUUCUCUUGCUCUUUUGGAGUGGUUUAUUUUCCAAUAACAGCACGUAAUAAUAGUGUUUUAUUUCUCUUAAAUCACAGCAAUUUGCC